AAGGAAAUGGUUGUUUGUUUUUUCAACUCUUCCCUGAAGUCUUAUUAGGUGUCAUCAUUGCUCAAAACUGUUCACCAAGCAACUCGUGCAACUAGUCUACAGAUUGUUCAAAAGCAAUCCACUGCAUGUGUCAACAAACUUGAGGUUGAUCUCUGAUUACUUGUUUUAUUGUUUUAAUUGGGUGCAUCAGACACAUUAUAUUCUUGGGUUUGUUUGUUUGUUUGCUUGUUUGUUUGUUUUUCUGCAGUUAAGUUACAGGUAUAGAUAUUCACAUCUGUCAGUCUUAGGACACAGAGUAAAGUUAUUUUUGAUCGACCCAGCAGCCCCAUGACACAUGAUACAAAUGAAGAGAGCUUUCAGAAAAACACCAUGAAACCAAGAUACCAUUCUUAACUGAGCUCCAAAACGUUAUCACUUCAAUACUUGAGAUCUCUGGAACUACAUUAUGUUUGAUAUCUUGCUUCAUGGAACAGAACUCAACUUGGGACCAUGCAAAUGUUAAAUUUACUAUCAGGUAAAAACCCAUUAACACUCAGGAGUAUUUGCUGCAAAGAACACAGAAAGGAGGGUGACUACAGCUGGGAAGAAAUCUUUCUUGUUUUUUGUUGUUGUUGUUUAUUUGUUUUUUAAACAAGAAACUUUCUUGGGUGGAGAAAGUGGAAAAGCUUAAACUUCUUGGUUGACACAUCAAAAGUAAAGCUAGCACACAAAGGUGACUAGAUAACUUCAGUCAGGAUUUCAUUUUCUCACCUACUGUUCCUGUAUAUUUACAUGAUCUUGCUCUCAGUGUACUGCUUUUUCCUUCUCAAAAGUAAAAAAAGUGAAAAGCUCCUUUCUGCAAUUCCUUUUGGCUGCUAUCUCAUCAAUCCCACUCUAAGCAGGUAAUAAUUCCACUGUUGAAUAGACAAAAGAAGCAGCUGUGAAGUGUAUUUUUAAAUGUUUCCUAAUGGUUGUCUUGUAGAUCCUUGGGUCCAGGAGAGCCCAGUUCAGCCACACUUCACAGUGCCAUUAGCAUACAAGCCAAAAAGGCCCUUUUCUUGGCAUACACAGGGAAUACAAAAUCAAGGAAUAUAUAUACCCGAUGGAAAAGCGACAGCUUCACUGCCCUUUGCUUCAAUGGUUUGUUGCUAGCAAUCUUUGGUCCUGUGUAUG